rnacentral:rRNA from 1 species
AUUGAACGCUGGCGGCAGGCCUAACACAUGCAAGUCGAACGAGUGGCGGACGGGUGAGUAAUGUCUGGGAAACUGCCUGAUGGAGGGGGAUAACUACUGGAAACGGUAGCUAAUACCGCAUACCAUCAGAUGUGCCCAGAUGGGAUUAGCUUGUUGGUGGGGUAACGGCUCACCAAGGCGACGAUCCCUAGCUGGUCUGAGAGGAUGACCAGCAACACUGCAACUGGAACCGGUCCCGACCUCCAACGGGGGGAAGAGGGGGGGAUAGUUGAACAAUGGCGCAAAGCCUAUAGAGGCCAGCCCGGUUGUAUGAGAAGGCCUUUGGGGUGUAAAAUUAUUUCCACGGGGGAGACGUUCCCGCAGAAGAAGCACCGGCUAACUCCGUGCCAGCAGCCGCGGUAAUAC